AUUGAACGCUGGCGGCAUGCCUUACACAUGCAAGUCGAACGGUAACAGGUCUUCGGAUGCUGACGAGUGGCGAACGGGUGAGUAAUACAUCGGAACGUGCCUGAUCGUGGGGGAUAACGAAGCGAAAGCUUUGCUAAUACCGCAUAAGAUCUACGGAUGAAAGCAGGGGACCGCAAGGCCUUGCGCGAACGGAGCGGCCGAUGGCAGAUUAGGUAGUUGGUGGGAUAAAAGCUUACCAAGCCGACGAUCUGUAGCUGGUCUGAGAGGACGACCAGCCACACUGGGACUGAGACACGGCCCAGACUCCUACGGGAGGCAGCAGUGGGGAAUUUUGGACAAUGGGCGAAAGCCUGAUCCAGCCAUGCCGCGUGCAGGAUGAAGGCCUUCGGGUUGUAAACUGCUUUUGUACGGAACGAAAAGACUCUGGUUAAUACCUGGGGUCCAUGACGGUACCGUAAGAAUAAGCACCGGCUAACUACGUG
rnacentral:rRNA from 1 species